rnacentral:tRNA from 2 species
AAGGAUGAAAUCAUUAGAUAUUUCAUUUACAAUGAAAAUUUGCGUUAAGCCAUCUUUA